rnacentral:rRNA from 1 species
CGUGAGAUGUUCGGUUAAGUCCGCUAACGAGCGCAACCCUCGCUGUGUGUUACAAGUGUCACACGGUACUGCCGAUAUUAAGUCGGAGGAAGGUGGGGAUGACGUCAAGUCAGCAUGACCUUUAUAUCCAGGGCUACACACACGCUACAAUGGCCAGUACAAUGGGUUGCCAAGCCGCGAGGCGGAGCCAAUCCUAAAAAGCUGGCCUCAGUUCAGAUUGCAGUCUGCAACUCGACUGCA